UACGUAGGGGGCAAGCGUUGUCCGGAUUUACUGGGCGUAAAGAGCGCGUAGGCGGAAAUUUAAGCGUGGCCUGAAAGCCCCCGGCUCAACCGGGGAGUGCGGCUGCGAACUGGGUUUCUUGAGGACGAUAGAGGAGAGUGGAAUUCCUGGUGUAGCGGUGAAAUGCGUAGAUAUCAAGAGGAACACCUGAGGUGAAGACGGGUUGCUGGGCUGACACUGACGCUGAGGCGCGAAAGCCAGGGGAGCAAACGGG
rnacentral:rRNA from 1 species